UACGAAGGGGGCUAGCGUUGUUCGGAAUUACUGGGCGUAAAGCGCACGUAGGCGGAUAUUUAAGUCAGGGGUGAAAUCCCAGAGCUCAACUCUGGAACUGCCUUUGAUACUGGGUAUCUUGAGUAUGGAAGAGGUAAGUGGAAUUGCGAGUGUAGAGGUGAAAUUCGUAGAUAUUCGCAGGAACACCAGUGGCGAAGGCGGCCGGCUGGGGGUGACCUGACGCUGAGGCGCGAAAGCGUGGGGAGCGAACCGG
rnacentral:rRNA from 1 species